GAUGAACGCUGGCGGCGUGCCUAAUACAUGCAAGUCGAGCGAACAGACGAGGAGCUUGCUCCUCUGACGUUAGCGGCGGACGGGUGAGUAACACGUGGAUAACCUACCUAUAAGACUGGGAUAACUUCGGGAAACCGGAGCUAAUACCGGAUAAUAUAUUGAACCGCAUGGUUCAAUAGUGAAAGACGGUUUUGCUGUCACUUAUAGAUGGAUCCGCGCCGCAUUAGCUAGUUGGUAAGGUAACGGCUUACCAAGGCAACGAUGCGUAGCCGACCUGAGAGGGUGAUCGGCCACACUGGAACUGAGACACGGUCCAGACUCCUACGGGAGGCAGCAGUAGGGAAUCUUCCGCAAUGGGCGAGAGCCUGACGGAGCAACGCCGCGUGAGUGAUGAAGGUCUUCGGAUCGUAAAACUCUGUUAUUAGGGAAGAACAAAUGUGUAAGUAACUAUGCACGUCUUGACGGUACCUAAUCAAAAAGCCACGGCUAACUACGUG
rnacentral:rRNA from 1 species